rnacentral:lncRNA from 1 species
UGGCAGGGGUUGAUUUAUGUUGUUUCAAACAAAUUAAUCAUUCAUUGCAACAGAUAAUUAGUCUGGUGCAACAGAUAAAUAUCCUGAUACAACAGAUAAUACGUCUGAUCCAACAGAUAAUACGAUGAUGCAGCAGAUAAACAGUCUGACACAACAGGUAAAUUUUCUGAUGCAAUAAAUUACUCAUCUGAUGCACCAGAUGAUUGAUCUAUUUAAAUUGUGGGCACUUAUGCUGGAUUCAUAAUCGGAGUUCUAUCCAUUAUUGAAAAAACAGA